rnacentral:rRNA from 1 species
CGAUUCAGCGGGUUACGAUUGACGGAGCGAAGCGACGUCAAAGCGUAUACAAAGUCGAGUCGGUUUAAGGAUGCGUUCGUUGGGUAGGGGAGCGUUCUGUAAGCCUGCGAAGGUGGCCUGUGAGGGUUGCUGGAGGUAUCAGAAGUGCGAAUGCUGACAUAAGUAACGAUAAAGCGGGUGAAAAGCCCGCUCGCCGGAAGACCAAGGGUUCCUGUCCAACGUUAAUCGGGGCAGGGUGAGUCGACCCCUAAGGCGAGGCCGAAAGGCGUAGUCGAUGGGAAACGGGUUAAUAUUCCCGUACUUGGUGUUACUGCGAAGGGGGGACGGAGAAGGCUAUGUUGGCCGGGCGACGGUUGUCCCGGUUUAAGCGUGUAGGCUGGUUUUCCAGGCAAAUCCGGAAAAUCAAGGCUGAGGCGUGACGACGAGGCACUACGGUGCUGAAGCAACAAAUGCCCUGCUUCCAGGAAAAGCCUCUAAGCAUCAGGUAACAUCAAAUCGUACCCCAAACCGACACAGGUGGUCAGGUAGAGAAUACCAAGGCGCUUGAGAGAACUCGGGUGAAGGAACUAGGCAAAAUGGUGCCGUAACUUCGGGAGAAGGCACGCUGACAUGUAGGUGAAGUGAUUUACUCAUGGAGCUGAAGUCAGUCGAAGAUACCAGCUGGCUGCAACUGUUUAUUAAAAACACAGCACUGUGCAAACACGAAAGUGGACGUAUACGGUGUGACGCCUGCCCGGUGCCGGAAGGUUAAUUGAUGGGGUCAGCGCAAGCGAAGCUCCUGAUCGAAGCCCCGGUAAACGGCGGCCGUAACUAUAACGGUCCUAAGGUAGCGAAAUUCCUUGUCGGGUAAGUUCCGACCUGCACGAAUGGCGUAAUGAUGGCCAGGCUGUCUCCACCCGAGACUCAGUGAAAUUGAACUCGCUGUGAAGAUGCAGUGUACCCGCGGCAAGACGGAAAGACCCCGUGAACCUUUACUAUAGCUUGACACUGAACAUUGAGCCUUGAUGUGUAGGAUAGGUGGGAGGCUUUGAAGUGUGGACGCCAGUCUGCAUGGAGCCGACCUUGAAAUACCACCCUUUAAUGUUUGAUGUUCUAACGUGGACCCGUUACCCGGGUUGCGGACAGUGUCUGGUGGGUAGUUUGACUGGGGCGGUCUCCUCCUAAAGAGUAACGGAGGAGCACGAAGGUUGGCUAAUCCUGGUCGGACAUCAGGAGGUUAGUGCAAUGGCAUAAGCCAGCUUGACUGCGAGCGUGACGGCGCGAGCAGGUGCGAAAGCAGGUCAUAGUGAUCCGGUGGUUCUGAAUGGAAGGGCCAUCGCUCAACGGAUAAAAGGUACUCCGGGGAUAACAGGCUGAUACCGCCCAAGAGUUCAUAUCGACGGCGGUGUUUGGCACCUCGAUGUCGGCUCAUCACAUCCUGGGGCUGAAGUAGGUCCCAAGGGUAUGGCUGUUCGCCAUUUAAAGUGGUACGCGAGCUGGGUUUAGAACGUCGUGAGACAGUUCGGUCCCUAUCUGCCGUGGGCGCUGGAGAACUGAGGGGGGCUGCUCCUAGUACGAGAGGACCGGAGUGGACGCAUCACUGGUGUUCGGGUUGUCAUGCCAAUGGCACUGCCCGGUAGCUAAAUGCGGAAGAGAUAAGUGCUGAAAGCAUCUAAGCACGAAACUUGCCCCGAGAUGAGUUCU